AUAAACGCUGGCGGCGUGCCUAAUACAUGCAAGUCGCGCGAACAGACGAGGAGCUUGCUCCUCUGACGUUAGCGGCGGACGGGUGAGUAACACGUGGAUAACCUACCUAUAAGACUGGGAUAACUUCGGGAAACCGGAGCUAAUACCGGAUAAUAUAUUGAACCGCAUGGUUCAAUAGUGAAAGACGGUUUUGCUGUCACUUAUAGAUGGAUCCGCGCCGCAUUAGCUAGUUGGUAAGGUAACGGCUUACCAAGGCAACGAUGCGUAGCCGACCUGAGAGGGUGAUCGGCCACACUGGAACUGAGACACGGUCCAGACUCCUACGGGAGGCAGCAGUAGGGAAUCUUCCGCAAUGGGCGAAAGCCUGACGGAGCAACGCCGCGUGAGUGAUGAAGGUCUUCGGAUCGUAAAACUCUGUUAUUAGGGAAGAACAAAUGUGUAAGUAACUAUGCACGUCUUGACGGUACCUAAUCAGAAAGCCACGGCUAACUACGUG
rnacentral:rRNA from 1 species